GUGGUUCUUAACCUGGAGUCCUCAAACGGGGGGCCCGGCCGAUCCACUGGGGGCCCCGGCCCGGCCGAUCCACUGGGGGGAGGGGUACCCCAGUGGGAUCAGUCACACACUUCAAAGUGUACACUAUAUUAACGUUAGGGACCAGUCACACACUUCAAAGUGUACAGUAUUUUAAUGAUCGGAUAAAUCAGGCGUACAUCAAGUAUACAACAGAAUACUAACAGAUCUAGAAUCAGAGAGAAGACAUGAUCAGUUUCUACAUUACCCCCCCAGACGGAUCACAUCGACAUGAUCCGUUUCUACAUUACCCCCCCAGAGGGAUCACAUCAACAUGAUCAGUUUCUACAUUACCCCCCCAGACGGAUCACAUUGACAUGAUCAGUUUUCAGGCAUGUUUCACGGUUAGUAAAGAGAGAAAGAGAGAACAGGGGCACGGGAGAGAAAACAGGGGCGCGGGAGAGAAAACAGGGGCGCGGGAGAGAAAACAGGGGCGCGGGAGAGAAAACAGGGGCGCGGGAGAGAAAACAGGGGCGCGGGAGAGAAAACAGGGGCGCGGGAGAGAAAACAGGGGCGCGGGAGAGAAAACAGGGGCGCGGGAGAGAAAACAGGGGCACGGGAGAGAAAACAGGGGCGUGGGAGAGAGAACAGGGGCGCGGGAGAGAGAACAGGGGCUCGGGAGAGAGAACAGGGGCGCGGGAGAGAGAACAGGGGCACGGGAGAGAGAACAGGGGCACGGGAGAGAGAACAGGGGCACGGGAGAGAGAACAGGGGCACGGGAGAGAGAACAGGGGCACGGGAGAGAGAACAGGGGCACGGUAGGCAUCUCUCUCAUUUCACACCGUCUCCUUAACGACGGACAUGUUUCAGUACGAUACAGUUAAUUUCAAACCGUUGACAGAAGCGCUGCGUCGUGGUCCUGAACACAGCCUACCAUCAUCAUCAUCAUCCUCAUCAUCAUCAUGGCACUAAAACCAGAGCAGCAGAGUCGUGGUCCUGAACAGAGCCGAGUCGUAGCAAGCAAAGCCCAGGGAUCACCGUCCGUUCUUAAAAACACUGACGUCGCCUUUUCGCGACGUAAACAAGAGUUUCUAUUUGACAACACUUCAGGCAGGUCCCGUUCCAGAUGCUUCCGGUUGGUUCCUAGUGAAUCCAUCCUUGUUCCACUGCGGUCCAGUCCUCCACCGGGUCAGUAACGGUCCAGUCCCCCGGGGUCGGUAACGGUCCAGUCCCCCCGGGUCGGUAACGGUCCAGUCCCCCGGGUCGGUAACGGUCCAGUCAAUAACGGUCCAGUCAGUAACGGUCCAGUCCUCCACCGGGUCAGUAACGGUCCAGUCAAUAACGGUCCAGUCCUCCACCGGGUCGGUAACGGUCCAGUCAAUAACGGUCCAGUCCCCCCCGGGGUCGGUAACGGUCCAUCCUCCACCGGGUCGGUAACGGUCCAGUCAAUAACGGUCCAGUCAGUAACGGUCCAGUCUCCCCCGGGUCAGUAACGGUCCAGUCUCCCCCGGGUCAGUAACGGGUCAGUAAUGGCACUUCUCAGGGUUGGUCCAACAGCCUGGGUCUGAAUCUUAACAGCUGUUAGCCUGCUGAACUGAAGCCAAGGCAUUAACUUGGGGGAGCUAACAAGUCUUCAGUAAACAGUCCUGGAAUUAUCCCAAAGCAGGAGAGGGGCUGGUGUAGUCAGUGGGCAGAGCUAAGGUACGGCAGCUCCACCCAUAAUGCACUGGGCUAAGGUCACAGAGGUCGUGACCACUUCUGACCCUGCCCACAUCAGGGGUUAAAGUUCAUAUAGCAGAGAUAUUAAAAAAAAAAAACAGUCAUGAUCCUGAAGGAUGAUGAAACACAAUCAGUGUGUGUGUGUGUGUGUGUGUGUGUGUGUGUGUGGUGGGGGUCAGAGUUCAUAUGGUCCGUUUGACACAGGGUCGUCCACUGAGGUGGGAACAUAUGGCUGCUCAACCAAUCAGCAUCCUCUAACAUGUCCACACCUAGACACAGAAAGAGAGAGAGAGGAGGAGAGACAAGCGAGACACAAGAAAGAGAGAGCGAAAGACAGAGAGAGAGAGAAAACACAGUGAGGGAUAUUGGAAUGGAUUGCCUGACUGACUAACCCUUCCACUACAAUUUUCACGGCCCCAAAAAUCCAGAGUGGCGUCGC
rnacentral:lncRNA from 1 species